AUGAAAUUCAUCUCAACCCUAGUGAGGCUGUGGGUAUUGGAGCCAAUUGGACUUGGGUUCUCUCUAUCUCCAUCUCCGCACUCUCUCUCUCCCCUCUCGCCGGAAAUCAGAUUUUUUUUAUUCGUUUGCUUCCUCGUCUACGGCCCCCUCUUCCUCUCUUCUUUCUUCUUUUUUUUUUCCUCUUCGGUUUCUAUUUUUCUCUUCUCCCUCCCAGUUUCUCCUGAUUCUCCUCCCUUCACUUUCUUGUUCUUCCUUUCUGGGUGAAACAGAGAGAGCGAGAGAUUGAGAGGGAGAUUAACAGAGAGAGAUCGAGAGGGAGAGGGAGAGAGAUACACGAAGAGAGACGGGAAGAGAGAUCUGGAGAGGGAGAGAUCAGACCCCGAGAGUGAACCCGUGAGGCCGGAGGACCGAACAGAGGGACCCGAUCCUUCCUGGGGUCCGGUCAACGGUGGGUCGUCGGAGGGCGCGGAUUCCGGAGACUUUCGUGUAGGAUUUUCCCGGUGAGAACAGAGGCAAUUUCCGGUGGAUUUUCUGUAUUGAGCGGAUAUUCCCCUAUCCCUGGAGCUUUGUUUCAUUGGUCAUGAAAGCUAAAUCUAUAAAGAAGCCAAGACCACCAGAGAAGUCCAAGCAAACCCAAGACCCAGAGAAGUCAUGUUGUCGAUUGUAAAGAGACGUGAGCCAUGGCAGGGGUGACUUUGUGACAACCCAUGAUUAAUUCUAUCAAAUGAGUCGCGAAUAGAAAUGUUAGAAUAUAAAUUGAAUAAUUAAAUUCAUCGCUACUUUAAGCUCAAGUUUUUGAGAUAAAUGAUAAUUUAACAUGGUACGAGAGCAAACAUCACGUGUUUAAACUUUGUUUUUGUUAUUCA